rnacentral:rRNA from 1 species
CACGUAGGUGGCGACGUAAGUCGGGUGUGAAGGCCCCGGGCUCAACCUGGGAAUUGCAUUCGAGACUGUGUCGCUGGAGUACGGAAGAGGAAGGCGGAAUUUCCGGUGUAGCGGUGAAAUGCGUAGAUAUCGGGAGGAACAUCAGUGGCGAAGGCGGCCUUCUGGUCCAGUACUGACACUCAAGUGCGAAAGCGUGGGGAGCAAACA